GGUUAAGCGACUAAGCGUACACGGUGGAUGCCCUGGCAGUCAGAGGCGAUGAAGGACGUGCUAAUCUGCGAUAAGCGUCGGUAAGGUGAUAUGAACCGUUAUAACCGGCGAUUUCCGAAUGGGGAAACCCAGUGUGAUUCGUCACACUAUCAUUACGUGAAUACAUAGCGUAAUGAAGCGAACCGGGGGAACUGAAACAUCUAAGUACCCCGAGGAAAAGAAAUCAACCGAGAUUCCCCCAGUAGCGGCGAGCGAACGGGGAGCAGCCCAGAGUCUGAAUCAGCUUGUGUGUUAGUGGAACGGUCUGGAAAGUCCGACGGUACAGGGUGAUAGUCCCGUACACCAAAAUGCACAGGUUGUGAACUCGAAGAGUAGGGCGGGACACGUGGUAUCCUGUCUGAAUAUGGGGGGACCAUCCUCCAAGGCUAAAUACUCCUGACUGACCGAUAGUGAACCAGUACCGUGAGGGAAAGGCGAAAAGAACCCCGGCGAGGGGAGUGAAAAAGAACCUGAAACCGUGUACGUACAAGCAGUGGGAGCACCCUUUGGGGUGUGACUGCGUACCUUUUGUAUAAUGGGUCAGCGACUUAUAUUCUGUAGCAAGGUUAACCGUAUAGGGGAGCCGAAGGGAAACCGAGUCUUAACUGGGCGUUAAGUUGCAGGGUAUAGACCCGAAACCCGGUGAUCUAGCCAUGGGCAGGUUGAAGGUUGGGUAACACUAACUGGAGGACCGAACCGACUAAUGUUGAAAAAUUAGCGGAUGACUUGUGGCUGGGGGUGAAAGGCCAAUCAAACCGGGAGAUAGCUGGUUCUCCCCGAAAGCUAUUUAGGUAGCGCCUCGUGAACUCAUCUUCGGGGGUAGAGCACUGUUUCGGCUAGGGGGUCAUCCCGACUUACCAACCCGAUGCAAACUGCGAAUACCGAAGAAUGUUAUCACGGGAGACACACGGCGGGUGCUAACGUCCGUCGUGAAGAGGGAAACAACCCAGACCGCCAGCUAAGGUCCCAAAGUCAUGGUUAAGUGGGAAACGAUGUGGGAAGGCACAGACAGCCAGGAUGUUGGCUUAGAAGCAGCCAUCAUUUAAAGAAAGCGUAAUAGCUCACUGGUCGAGUCGGCCUGCGCGGAAGAUGUAACGGGGCUAAACCAUGCACCGAAGCUGCGGCAGCGACACUAUGUGUUGUUGGGUAGGGGAGCGUUCUGUAAGCCGUUGAAGGUGUACUGUGAGGUAUGCUGGAGGUAUCAGAAGUGCGAAUGCUGACAUAAGUAACGAUAAUGCGGGUGAAAAACCCGCACGCCGGAAGACCAAGGGUUCCUGUCCAACGUUAAUCGGGGCAGGGUGAGUCGACCCCUAAGGCGAGGCCGAAAGGCGUAGUCGAUGGGAAACAGGUUAAUAUUCCUGUACUUGGUGUUACUGCGAAGGGGGGACGGAGAAGGCUAUGUUAGCCGGGCGACGGUUGUCCCGGUUUAAGCAUGUAGGCGGAGGUUCCAGGUAAAUCCGGUACCUUUUUAACGCUGAGGUGUGAUGACGAGGCACUACGGUGCUGAAGUAACAAAUGCCCUGCUUCCAGGAAAAGCCUCUAAGCAUCAGGUAACACGAAAUCGUACCCCAAACCGACACAGGUGGUCAGGUAGAGAAUACCAAGGCGCUUGAGAGAACUCGGGUGAAGGAACUAGGCAAAAUGGUGCCGUAACUUCGGGAGAAGGCACGCUGAUAUGUAGGUGAAGCGGUUUACCCGUGGAGCUGAAAUCAGUCGAAGAUACCAGCUGGCUGCAACUGUUUAUUAAAAACACAGCACUGUGCAAACACGAAAGUGGACGUAUACGGUGUGACGCCUGCCCGGUGCCGGAAGGUUAAUUGAUGGGGUUAUCCGUAAGGAGAAGCUCUUGAUCGAAGCCCCGGUAAACGGCGGCCGUAACUAUAACGGUCCUAAGGUAGCGAAAUUCCUUGUCGGGUAAGUUCCGACCUGCACGAAUGGCGUAAUGAUGGCCGGGCUGUCUCCACCCGAGACUCAGUGAAAUUGAACUCGCUGUGAAGAUGCAGUGUACCCGCGGCAAGACGGAAAGACCCCGUGAACCUUUACUAUAGCUUGACACUGAACACUGGUCCUUGAUGUGUAGGAUAGGUGGGAGGCUUUGAAGUGUGGACGCCAGUCUGCAUGGAGCCAUCCUUGAAAUACCACCCUUUAAUGGCUGGUGUUCUAACGUGGACCCGUGAUCCGGGUUGCGGACAGUGUCUGGUGGGUAGUUUGACUGGGGCGGUCUCCUCCUAAAGAGUAACGGAGGAGCACGAAGGUUAGCUAAUCCUGGUCGGACAUCAGGAGGUUAGUGCAAAGGCAUAAGCUAGCUUGACUGCGAGAGUGACGGCUCGAGCAGGUGCGAAAGCAGGUCUUAGUGAUCCGGUGGUUCUGAAUGGAAGGGCCAUCGCUCAACGGAUAAAAGGUACUCCGGGGAUAACAGGCUGAUACCGCCCAAGAGUUCAUAUCGACGGCGGUGUUUGGCACCUCGAUGUCGGCUCAUCACAUCCUGGGGCUGAAGUAGGUCCCAAGGGUAUGGCUGUUCGCCAUUUAAAGUGGUACGCGAGCUGGGUUUAGAACGUCGUGAGACAGUUCGGUCCCUAUCUGCCGUGGGCGCUGGAGAAUUGAGGGGGGCUGCUCCUAGUACGAGAGGACCGGAGUGGACGCAUCACUGGUGUUCGGGUUGUCAUGCCAAUGGCAUUGCCCGGUAGCUAAAUGCGGAAGAGAUAAGUGCUGAAAGCAUCUAAGCACGAAACUUGCCCCGAGAUGAGUUCUCCCUGAGACUUUAAGUCUCCUGAAGGAACGUUGAAGACGACGACGUUGAUAGGUCGGGUGUGUAAGCGUAGCGAUACGUUGAGCUAACCGAUACUAAUGAACCGUGAGGCUUAACCUU
rnacentral:rRNA from 1 species